rnacentral:lncRNA from 1 species
UCGCGAUAACUCCCCACACAAAUGUCUCUGUGUUUGAGUUCCACAAAAGUAGGGGCUGAGAUAAGANCCCGUCCCGCCCCCGCCGCCGCCGCGGGCGCGCGCGUGUCAGGCGCCUCUGCAGCCGCCAUUUUGGAGUGAGUCGGCCUGAGCCCCGAGCCCGCGGGAGCCGGCGAGGCCUGCGGCGGCAGGGGCGGGGGCGGGGAGCCGCGGAGCGCCCAGAGCGCCCAGAGCCCGGCGCCGAGGCCGAGGCGCAGCAAUCUAAGAACCAGUGGAUUUGGCAGGGUGAUCAACAGAACCAGGGGAAUGUGGUGCCUUAGACUGGUUGGUUUAAGGCACAGAGGCUGGAGAGAAAUCUUUCAUUGAGUGCACACUCUCACAAAAUCACUCAAAUGUUUCUUUGCUUGAGAACAGGAUUUCAUCUUUGAAAGAAGAAGUUUCUCCGGAAGGUAUGAGUAUUUCCCUAAGCCUUCCAUGCUUGGCUGUUUUACUAUAUGAAGUUCAGCAUGGCAGCACCAUGGCAUGUUGGGCACACAACAAUCUACUGCCUGGAUUGGUGACAUUUUGAAAAAUUGAAGUUAUUUUGGUAUUUUUUUGGCCAUAUUUAAUUCAGUGCUAUGUGAGACCAUCUUUGAGAGGCAGCAGAGUGUAGUGGACAUGGAAUUAGAAGACUUGUUUUCACUUCUGCUGGGCAUUUCUGCUAGUCAGUUCACCAUCUUGAGUCCUGGCCACUGGCCACUUCAGAUUUGUUCUGCUGAGCUCAGGAUACUGGUUGGAAGGCUUUGAAGUGCUUCGGAAAGAUGAAUUAGAGCUGUUUAUCUCAAUCAUGUGGUUUUGUCAUACCUGGUCAAGCAAAA